rnacentral:tRNA from 1 species
GCCUCAUAUAUCUAAUUUAAGUGCAGGGUUCUUACCCCUGUGAUGUGUUUUUUCACUGUGGGGU